GUGUUGCAAAAAUCCGGCCGUCGACCUGAGGACUUGCGUGCAGCUCAGCUCCCGGGACGUUUGGAGCUGCUGCUAAAUAAUUUCUGCUCAGCCAUGUCGCCGGCUCCAGAUGCAGCCCCGGCUCCUGCGUCGAUCUCCCUGUUUGACCUCAGCGCGGAUGCUCCGGUCCUUCAGGGCCUGAGCCUGGCUCAGGGGAGAGAGAAAGCCCAGAAAGAAAGCUACUCCAGGGUCCUAUGGAUAUUUCAGAGAAGUUAUUUUGUUCAACCUGUGACCAGACCUUCCAGAACCACCAAGAACAGAGGGAACAUUAUAAGCUUGACUGGCAUCGGUUUAACCUAAAGCAACGUCUCAAGGACAAGCCUCUCCUGUCUGCCCUGGACUUUGAAAAGCAGAGCUCCACAGGAGAUCUUUCCAGCAUCUCAGGAUCAGAAGACUCAGACUCAGCCAGUGAGGAGGACUUGCAGACACUGGAUCGGGAGAGGGCUACAUUUGAGAAGUUUAGCCGACCCCAAGGCUUUUACCCUCAUCGAGUUCUUUUCCAGAAUGCCCAGGGCCAGUUUCUUUAUGCCUACCGCUGUGUCCUAGGCCCUCAUCAGGAUCCCCCAGAAGAGGCAAAACUGCUGCUACAGAAUCUGCAAAGCAGAGGUCCCAGAGACUGCGUGGUGCUCAUGGCUGCAGCUGGGCACUUUGCUGGUGCUAUAUUUCAAGGAAGAGAAGUGGUGACACACAAAACUUUUCACCGCUAUACGGUGCGAGCCAAGCGGGGCACAGCCCAGGGGCUUCGGGAUGCCCGAGGUGGGCCAUCACGCUCUGCUGGAGCCAACCUGAGGCGCUACAAUGAAGCCACACUAUAUAAGGAUGUUCGUGACCUGCUGGCAGGGCCAAGCUGGGCUAAGGCGCUGGAGGAGGCUGGUACAAUACUGUUGCGUGCUCCCCGCUCUGGCCGGUCGUUGUUCUUUGGAGGCAAGGGGGCACCCCUGCAAAGGGGGGAUCCCCGACUUUGGGAUAUCCCCCUCGCCACCCGCAGACCCACCUUCCAAGAGCUACAGCGUGUGCUCCAUAAGCUGACCACUUUGCAUGUCUAUGAAGAAGACCCUCGGGAAGCAGUCAGACUGCACUCACCUCAGACACACUGGAAAACAAUAAGAGAGGAGAGAAAGAAGCCUACUGAGGAAGAAAUAAGAAAGAUCUGCAGUGAUGAAAAGGAAGCACUUGGGCAGAAUGAGGAAUCUCCCAAACAGGGUUUGAUUACUAUCUGGCAACUGUCAGAUCUGAGUUUCUGUCCUAAAAAUGCACUGGCAAAUUCCCUACUCUCAUAACUGACCCAUUUCCUUAUUUAAACACACACCCACAGUAUCUGUAUCUUAGCAAUUACUGAGACAUGUUUAGUGACCUUUCCAAAUCUAUUACCUCUUUUGUUAUGGAUGUUACCCCAGAGCUAAGAAAAUCUUUGUGUGGAGCAGAUGCGUGGACGUGUUGCAUGGAUCUCACAUAGUUUAUCUUUGAUUGGAAGCUGUGGUUUGAGGCUGAGGGCUGCUUCCAUGCUUUCCUCUAUUGUGCAGCCUCCUAAGGCUGCUCAUAAGUCCAGGGACUUGUUCUUGUCUGGGCUGAGAGCCUCAUUUCUGCAUGUGAUAUAAUGGACUCAGCUCUUGAGGUGCUACUUUAUCUGGGUGACAAAAUAAAAACAAUUUUAUUUCAGGCUUUCAUUCUUAUGCAUCUGCUUCUACCCUCUGAGUACUCCCUAGAUGGAUUUCACAUGUCAGGUUUUUCCCUAGGUUCAGGGUCGGAGGGAGAAGAUGGCUUUCAGGUAGAGUUGGAGCUAGUGGAGUUGACCAUGGGGACUCUGGAUCUUCGUGAGUCUGAAGUAUUGCCCAAGCGGAGGAGGAGAAAAAGGAAUAAGAAGGAGAAAAGCCGAGACCAGGAGACUGGGGCACAUCGGACUCUUCUCCAGCAAACUCAAGAAGAGGAGCCUUCCACACAGUCAUCCCAGGCAGUUGUUGCCCCCUUGGGCCCUUCGCUGGAUGAGGCCAAAGCCCCUGGUCAGCCAGAGCUCUGGAAUGCACUGCUUGCUGCUUGCCGAGCUGGAGAUGUUGGAGUGCUGAAGCUGCAGCUAGCUCCCAGCCCUGCAGACCCUAGAGUUCUGUCUCUGCUCAGUGCCCCCUUGGGCUCCGGUGGCUUUACUCUCCUGCAUGCAGCAGCUGCAGCUGGAAGAGGCUCAGUGGUUCGUCUGCUGCUGGAAGCAGGUGCCGACCCCAUUGUGCAGUGAGUAAAGGUCCCCAUCCUGAGUCAUUUUGGGUAUAGAGAGGAUAAUUUGGAGGUUAAAGUUGGCAUUGGCUACUUGACAAUAUUCCCUUGGUCUGGUUGGGUGAUGUUGGGAAAGGCAAGAGGCAAGUUAAACCCAUUUUUGGAGUUUUUGCACCUAGGGACUCACGGGCCCGGCCACCUUAUACUGUUGCGGCUGACAAAUCAACACGUAAUGAGUUCCGAAGGUUCAUGGAGAAGAACCCAGAUGCCUACGAUUACAACAAGGCUCAGGUCAGCUGGAAUAGGAAGGACAAGCAGAGUGGGAAGGCAUCACAGAUCCUGGCUAGAUCCUUUCUACUUCUUGCAGUUUUACCAAAGAUAGCUUAUAGGGUCUUAUAUUUGAAAUCCUCCAGGUGCCAGGACCAUUGACACCAGAAAUGGAGGCACGGCAGGCUACACGGAAAAGGGAGCAGAAGGCAGCCCGGCGGCAACGGGAGGAACGGCAGCAGAGGCACCAGGAGCAGGAGGAGCGUGAACGAGAAGAGCAGCGGCGAUUUGCCGCCCUCAGUGACCGAGAGAAGAGAGCUCUGGCUGCAGAGUGCCGACUUGCUGCCCAGUUGGGAGCCCCUACCUCUCCGAUCCCUGACUCUGCAAUCGUCAAUACUCGACGCUGCUGGAGUUGUGGGGCAUCCCUCCAAGGCCUCACUCCCUUUCACUACCUCGACUUCUCUUUCUGCUCCACACGUUGCCUCCAGGAUCAUCGCCGUCAGGCAGGGAGGCCCUCUUCCUGAUCUCUUACAGCUCUACCUGGGGCCAACUCAGGGACCUGAGAGGGCACAUUCACAGCAGCCCUAGGUUUUUUCUUCCUCAUGAAACCAGAGAUGAUUUGGAAGAUGGGGGUGAAGGACACUCGGGAACUAGGGCAAAGACAGGGCCAGAGAGGUAUGUGGAGCUGGUACUGUCUCUGGAAGUUUAAUCACAAUAAAGUUUGGCAAGGAA
rnacentral:sRNA from 1 species